rnacentral:misc_RNA from 1 species
UCUCUCUCUCUCUCUCUCUUUUCUGAAUACCCAAAAAACAGUUUAAGAUGGAGUGCUAAAGGGAUAAAAGUGAAUACAAAAAAAAUAUGAGGUAUCUUCAAAGCUUCAGGGUUUCUGAUGGUUGUAAAUGAAACAUUCAUAUACUGACACAUCAACAGUUCAAUAAAGACUUCCAUAGCUGUUUGAAGUAUAUAGAUGGGUUGCUUGCCUGCAAAAUAACUCACCUAGAAUCCAGUUUUGGACAGUAGAAAGACUAGAAUUUCUAAUGCAAAAAUCAAUCCCAUUUCACUGGAGUAUAGGCUAUUAGGAAUCCUUCAAUAUCCAAUUUAAUGCUCCUUGGUUUCAUGAGCAAGCAACAUUUUGCUCAAAUAUUUUUCUUCCUUCCUUAAAGCAGAUUGAAAGCUUUAGCUACUGACAGAAAAAAGGCAUGCAACCCUUUACUUUAUCAGACCUAACCAUUGCACCAUGAAGUGGAGGGCAGUCAAAGUAGCGUACUCCUUUCACCAUGCCAUCAUGUUUCCCCAAUGGUUCAUCAUAUUGAACUCCAACCCAAAAACCUGGUGCAAGAGAUUCUGCUCGACCAACAAAUUUGACAACCCCUCUUUUCUCCCCUGGUUCAACUUCACAUCUGUCUCCCACCUUGAUAUGUGCACAAAGGUCUUCCAUGUAGUUGUCAGUUAUCUUAGGCUCAAAGGCUGAUGGAUUUUGAGAGACCAAUUUUUCUUUAAAUUUUCUGAAAGUGCCACUGCGUUUGUCGUAGUCCUCUUCUGAAAUUGUGUAUUUCUCCACCAAUGAAGUGUCUUCCAGCCAUCCACCCGAUGUUACUGACGAAGGGUCAAGAUCUAUUACAUGUAGCCGAAACCCAUCAAGAGGAGAAUAAAAACCAAGGGGUCUGGAAUUAUCAGUUAAAUCAGAAAUUUUGGAGUUAGUGUCAUCAUAAAGCUCCAAGGACAUUGAAUUAACUGAUGUCCCACAUUUCCUCCACAGCUUCUCUUUUACAGAUUCUACUGUAGACUGAAGGGAGAAGCGAACACUGGCAGAGAAGGUCUUGAGGUUGGCAUGAGUGACACGCAAGAGGACUGAGUCAUCCACAUCUAUCUGAAGCCGAGUUGCCAUCUUUCCUCAAUCGCACUGAACUGAACAGAGCUCGAGAUGUGGCAAGGCUCCUUGUAUCCUUCAGUUCAAUUAGACGACAAUUAGGGAGAACUUCGAAGUGGCAAAAGAAAGGGAUCGCGAUAGUGAGAACGGCAAUGGCUUGGGGGGGGGAGGGGGGGGGAUGGGAUG